GGUGGAGUGGCCGAGUGGUUAAGGCGUUAGUUUUAGGCGAUAUCUCCGGGUAAAAGCCAUCACUAAUGGGAAACCGCGCGAGUUCGAAUCUCGUCUCCAUCA
rnacentral:tRNA from 1 species